UUUGGGGCAUAGCUUAGAAAUAGAGCACCCUGGAUUCAAUCUUCAGUAGCACCAAAAACAAACAAACAAACAAACAAAACAAAACAAAAAACCAUUUUGAAAGAAGAAGCUGGAGAGAAGACUUAUACUUUCUUAGGAAAGACUGUAUACUUUCCGAUUCCAUAAUAUUCUAGAAAAAGUGAACUAUAGUCACAGAAGGCAGAUCAGGUGUUGCCAGGGACUAUAGAUGAGGAAGAAGAUUGACUAAAGGGUCACAUUAGAAAUAGUAUGUAUCUUCAUUGUGUUUGUGGUUGUAUAACUGCAUACAGUUGUUGAAUCUCAUCAGAUUAUACACUUAAUAUUUUUGUAAGUAAAAAUCUUUUUUUUGUUUGUUUUUUGUUUUUUGUUUGCAGUGCUGGGGACCAAGCCUAGGGCCUUGCUUGUGCCAUGAACAUCUGCUACUGAGCCACUAGCCCAAUGCUGAUUUAAGAAAAACUCUACAAGAGCUGGGCAUAGUAGUGCACACCAGUAAUCCUAGCAACUUGAGACUCUGAGGCAGGAAGAUUGCAAGUUCAAGGCCAGCCUCAGCAACUUCUCAAGACUGUCUCUAAGUAAAAAUAAAAAGGACUGGGAAUAUAGCUCAGUGACUAUGCACCCCUAGGUUCAAUUCCCACUACUAAAAAAUAAAUUUAAAAUAGUUUUUAAAAAGCACAAGGAGAUACCAUUCCAUGAAACAUACACAAAGACCACAAUGAGAUGGCACUAGAAUAAUUAAAGAGGCUGCAGAGACUAAAUAAAAUGUACAGCAGUUGAAGCUUGACACAUGACUGGUGUGAAUUAUAAAAUGGUUCAGAGCCCUGAUCACUAGCCAUUUAUUACAAGGCUAACGUGUAUCCACCUAUGACUAUAAUUUCACUGCUCGGUGCUCUAGUCCCCCUAAAUGGGAAAAAAUAGCAAUCAUAUGCCCACCAAAAUGUUUUCUGUAACUUGAUAAAAUCAAACUGAACCAAUGCCUCUCAACAGGAGAUCAGAUAAACUGGGACUGAAUACCACUCAAAUACCACAAACUUCUGACUUAUCAACAACAUGGAUGGAUGAAUCUUAAAAGCAAUGAAUGACAGAAGCCAGAUACAAAAGAGCACAUAUUGUUUGCCUGCAUCAAGUUCAAAACCAGAAACUAACCUUUGGGUAUUGAAGCCAGAACGACAAUUCACUUGGGAAUUAAUAGUCUAAUAAGAAAAGAGGAACCUGGGGUGGUGGCAGUGCUCCAUUCUUGAGGUGGGUGUUGGUCACAUGGGCAAUGCACUUGUAAAACACAUUGAAAUGAAUAUGUGAGACUUGCACAUUUUCAGGAUAGCAUUUUUUUAAAUUGAGGUAAAAUUAACAUACUUUAAAC
rnacentral:lncRNA from 1 species